GACGCAGUAGGAUAGGCGAAGCGUGCUGUUGGAGUGCACGUCCAAGCAGUGAGAUUGAGUGUUAGGCAAAUCCGGCACUCUUAAGAUUGAGCUGUGAUGGGGAGAGGAACUUGUUCCUCGAGUCGUUGAUUUCACACUGCCGAGAAAAGCCUCUAGCUAGAAUAACGGUGCCCGUACCGCAAACCGACACAGGUAGUCAAGAUGAGAAUUCUAAGGUGAGCGAGCGAACUCUCGUUAAGGAACUCGGCAAAAUGACCCCGUAACUUCGGGAGAAGGGGUGCUCUUUGAGGUUCACGCUUCGAAGAGCCGCAGUGAAUAGGCCCAAGCGACUGUUUAUCAAAAACACAGGUCUCUGCUAAACCGUAAGGUGACGUAUAGGGGCUGACGCCUGCCCGGUGCUGGAAGGUUAAGAGGAGUGGUUAGCGCAAGCGAAGCUACGAAUCGAAGCCCCAGUAAACGGCGGCCGUAACUAUAACGGUCCUAAGGUAGCGAAAUUCCUUGUCGGGUAAGUUCCGACCCGCACGAAAGGCGUAACGAUUUGGGCACUGUCUCAACGAGAGACUCGGUGAAAUCAUAGUACCGGUGAAGAUGCCGGUUACCCGCGACAGGACGGAAAGACCCCGUGGAGCUUUACUGUAGCCUGAUAUUGAAAUUCGGUACAGUUUGUACAGGAUAGGUAGGAGCCUUAGAAGCGUGAGCGCUAGCUUACGUGGAGGCAUUGGUGGGAUACUACCCUAAUUGUAUUGGAUUUCUAACCCGCAGCACUUAUCGUGCUGGGAGACAGUGUCAGGCGGGCAGUUUGACUGGGGCGGUCGCCUCCUAAAGAGUAACGGAGGCGCUCAAAGGUUCCCUCAGAAUGGUUGGAAAUCAUUCAUAGAGUGUAAAGGCAUAAGGGAGCUUGACUGCGAGACCUACAAGUCGAGCAGGGUCGAAAGACGGACUUAGUGAUCCGGUGGUUCCGCAUGGAAGGGCCAUCGCUCAACGGAUAAAAGCUACCCCGGGGAUAACAGGCUUAUCUCCCCCAAGAGUUCACAUCGACGGGGAGGUUUGGCACCUCGAUGUCGGCUCAUCGCAUCCUGGGGCUGUAGUCGGUCCCAAGGGUUGGGCUGUUCGCCCAUUAAAGCGGUACGCGAGCUGGGUUCAGAACGUCGUGAGACAGUUCGGUCCCUAUCCGUCGUGGGCGUAGGAAAUUUGAGAGGAGCUGUCCUUAGUACGAGAGGACCGGGAUGGACAUACCUCUGGUGUACCAGUUGUCGUGCCAACGGCAUAGCUGGGUAGCUAUGUAUGGACGGGAUAAGUGCUGAAAGCAUCUAAGCAUGAAGCCCCCCUCGAGAUGAGAUUUCCCAACUUCGGUUAUAAGAUCCCUCAAAGAUGAUGAGGUGAAUAGGUUCGAGGUGGAAGUGUAGUGAUACGUGGAGCUGACGAAUACUAAUCGAUCGAAGACUUAAUCAA
rnacentral:rRNA from 1 species